CAUGUAGCCUACUACUUCGGGCCUCCCCACUCAACAGCCCUUCCAUCCCCUCCUCCAGGCAGUGAGCAGAGCUGGAGGUCCUUCCAGAUCCCUUGGCCCAGUCCUCACUGCACACAGUUAGAGCAGAGACGCCGUGAGAGCACAGGGAGCCCAGAGGCUGCGGGGCUGGGGCCUUGCUCUCCUUUCUCCCCAGUUCUGGACUUCCUGGGACACACGAUGUUGCUUUCACUCUCCAGCCCAGCGCUAGCCCUGAGGCAUUUCAACCCCACCUACCCUCCUGAGGACUGCCUGGGUCCUCUCACAGGCAAAGUAGCUAAAGCAUCAGGAACACACUUCUAGGGGACUUCCCUGCUGGUCCAGUGGUUAAGGACCUGCCUCCUAAUGCAGGGAACGUGGGUUCCAUCCCUGGUCUGGGAACUAAUCUCCUACUUUGUUUUGUUUUUGUUGUUAAGUCGUUCAGUCAUGUCUGACUCUGUGCAACCCCAUGGACUGUAGCCCGCUAGGCUCCUCUGUCCAUGGGAUUUCCCAGGGAAUUAUACUGGAGUGGGUUGUCAUUUCCCUCUCCAGGGGAUCUUUCCAACCCAGAGAUUGAACCCAAGUCUCCUGCAUUGGCAGGUGGGUUCUUCUAUCACUGAGCCACCACACGCCGCAGGGCAGCUAAGGGAUUGCACCGCGACUGCUGAGCCUGUUGCUCUGGAGCCCACGUGCCACAACGAGAGAACUUGUCUGCUGCCCACAGACCCUGCAGAGAUCCUGUGGGCAGCAACUAAGACCCCACGCAGCCAAAUAAUGAAUAUUAAAACACACACAUUUCUGAGUCAGACUGUCCUGGGUCAGCCUCAGGCCCAUCCCUUAACCUGAUUUAAUCACAGUUUCUCCAUCUGUGAAGUGGAGAUAGGAACAGUACCUUUCAUAGGGGUCGUUGUGAGCAUUAACGAUGGGAUGUAUAAAAAGGACUCAGCACGGUUCUGGGGACACAGUAGGUGCUCAAUAAAGGUGAACACUUUCAGGG
ensembl:lncRNA